CCUACGGGAGGCAGCAGUGAGGAAUAUUGGUCAAUGGGCGGAAGCCUGAACCAGCCAAGUAGCGUGCGGGAUGAAGGCUCUACGGGUCGUAAACCGCUUUUGCACGGGGAUAACACCCUCCACUUGUGGAGGUCUGCAGGUACCGUGCGAAUAAGGGUCGGCUAAUUCCGUGCCAGCAGCCGCGGUAAUACGGAGGGCCCGAGCGUUAUCCGGAUUUAUUGGGCUUAAAGGGAGCGUAGGCGGGCGUUCAAGUCAGCUGUAAAAUCGCGGGGCUAAACCGAGACUCGCAGUUGAAACUGGGCGCCUUGAGUUCACAAGAGGCAGGCGGAAGUCGUGGUGUAGCGGUGAAAUGCAUAGAUAUCACGAGGAACCCCGAUUGCGAAGGCAGCCUGCCGGGGUGCGACUGACGCUGAGGCUCGAAAGUGCGGGUAUCAAACAGGAUUAGAUACCCGGGUAGUC
rnacentral:rRNA from 1 species